AUGUCGCCAGUGUCGCCUUGUUGUUUUUACAUCGCGAAACGAGGGGAAAAUGGCGAAACAACUUAUAGCUGAUGAAUACUUCCUGUGAUUAUAUUUCUGUGAUUUCAUAUACUAAAGUGAGCUUUGUAUCAUAUAUGCAUAAUUGCAUACUGUCAGUCAUUCCAAAAAGUUGACUUAGCGCUCAGUAACUUUCCCUCCAAUAGACCCAUCAUGUUGACAAAAGCCUAAAACUCAUGUGUGAAGCUCACAUAUCGUGGAAUACAAAAGUGUGGAGACAAGGUAUUUCCCCAUUACUGCUACCACACCAACCACACGAUGUCAAAUGCCUUACUAAAUUCAGCACCAUUCACCCGUAUGAUAAAGCAUCAGGAAAUUUACCUCAACCUAAGGAGUAAGGCUGUUGGUUGCUGUGAUUUCCAUUUUUGCGGUUUUAUAUGAUGAAAACUUCAGUGUGCUUGUUAGUAUAGAGCACGUAAUAGAUCCUUAAGCCAAUGCUGACCUUUGUCCAUGAAGGAAGACGACCAUCCAGCAACCUACUGCUCCAUCCUUAUCUUCCCGACGUACGCUCAUCUAGCUUCAGUCACUGCUUUUGCUGCUACAACUUAUCUUACUUCACCGACGAGUUGGAACACUUCAGUGGUCGCUACCCUUUGCUGUUCCACACCUGCAGUCACUCACCACGGGAUUAUGCCUAGGUAAUGCAGAGGAAAUUUCGAGAAGAUGGACAUCAUAACGUCGCCGGUAUCUCCAAA